GGUGAGUAACACGUGAGUAACCUGCCCUUGACUCUGGGAUAAGCCUGGGAAACUGGGUCUAAUACUGGAUAUGCACCGUGGACCGCAUGGUUCUUGGUGGAAAGAUUUAUUGGUCAGGGAUGGACUCGCGGCCUAUCAGCUUGUUGGUGAGGUAAUGGCUCACCAAGGCGACGACGGGUAGCCGGCCUGAGAGGGUGACCGGCCACACUGGGACUGAGACACGGCCCAGACUCCUACGGGAGGCAGCAGUGGGGAAUAUUGCACAAUGGGCGAAAGCCUGAUGCAGCGACGCCGCGUGAGGGAUGACGGCCUUCGGGUUGUAAACCUCUUUCAGUAGGGAAGAAGCGAAAGUGACGGUACCUGCAGAAGAAGCGCCGGCUAACUACGUGCCAGCAGCCGCGGUAAUACGUAGGGCGCAAGCGUUAUCCGGAAUUAUUGGGCGUAAAGAGCUCGUAGGCGGUUUGUCGCGUCUAUCGUGAAAGUCCGAGGCUCAACCUCGGAUCUGCGGUGGGUACGGGCAGACUAGAGUGAUGUAGGGGAGACUGGAAUUCCUGGUGUAGCGGUGAAAUGCGCAGAUAUCAGGAGGAACACCGAUGGCGAAGGCAGGUCUCUGGGCAUUAACUGACGCUGAGGAGCGAAAGCAUGGGGAGCGAACAGGAUUAGAUACCCUGGUAGUCCAUGCCGUAAACGUUGGGCACUAGGUGUGGGGGACAUUCCACGUUUUCCGCGCCGUAGCUAACGCAUUAAGUGCCCCGCCUGGGGAGUACGGCCGCAAGGCUAAAACUCAAAGGAAUUGACGGGGGCCCGCACAAGCGGCGGAGCAUGCGGAUUAAUUCGAUGCAACGCGAAGAACCUUACCAAGGCUUGACAUGUGCUAGAUCGCCAUAGAAAUAUGGUUUCCCCUUUGGGGCUGGUUCACAGGUGGUGCAUGGUUGUCCUCAGCUCCUGUCCUGAGAUGUUGGGUUAAGUCCCGCAACGAGCGCAACCCUCGUUCCAUGUUGCCAGCACGUAAUGGUUGGGGA
rnacentral:rRNA from 1 species